rnacentral:tRNA from 1 species
GCCGGAGUGGCGAAAUCGGUAGACGCAGUGGAUUCAAAAUCCACCGCCCUCAUACGGCGUGCCGGUUCGAGUCCGGCCUCCGGCACCA